rnacentral:piRNA from 1 species
UAAUUUUGCAGGAUAAUUCCUUGGAUGC